GAAGCGCAUUGGAAAGCACGUUGAAGUUCUAAUCCAAUGAUCGUGGGUUCGAAACCCACCUGCGAUG